rnacentral:siRNA from 1 species
AAGCCUACUUGCGGUAUACUGCAG